rnacentral:lncRNA from 1 species
AGUCUUGAGAACCAUUAAUUCUAAAUAUCUCAGCAGGGAAUCAUGCCCCUUGGUAGAGAAUUACCCUGCAGCAGAAUGAAAAGUGUUCAUGCUAUUCAGAAGAUCAAAAAGGUGUCAGGGACUCCUUUUGCCGCAGACUGAAAUAUGGCUGGCUGCAGCCUUGAGGUCCUGGGUGGGGGCCAGGCCGAAGCAGCGCUGUCCCAGGCUCCUACCUGAAAUCCAGUCGAGCUGGGCAGCAGAGCUCACCUGGGCACACCAGAAAACGCCUUGCGCUCUGCCAGUCCUCUGAGCUGACAAACUGGAGAUUGUCUUUCCUUCCUCUGAGCAGCUUGCCAUGUCCACCUUCCUCAGACUCGUGCCCCAGGGAUUUUUGCUGUCAGAUACUGAAAUACUCAAGGAGGCCAGUCCGGGGAUCUAGGCCGAGGACAGACGUGCUAAGAGAAGAGAACCCUCUGUGAUGAGAUUGCCAUAGUAUUUGUCCUUGGACCCAAGGCCAUAGUUCCCUUUCUCUUUAUUUUAAUCAUGGAAAAUUCAAAACAUACACAAAAGCAGAAUGAAUAGUAAAAUGAAAACCCCACGGACCCCAUCACUUAGUUACAACAGGUUGCCCAUCUUAUGUAUCUUUCGUCAUAACUCUGGGAGGCAGGGGUGGAGAAUUUAAAGCACAUUUAAGACAACAUGUCAUUUUACUCAUAAAUAUGUCAGAGCAACAUCUUUAACUGAUAGGACUUUUUUUUAAACAUACCCACCAAGCCUUUAUCAUCUAAUACCAUCUUAGUUCGUAUUCGUAUCUCCCUGUUGUCUCAAAGGUCAGUCCUCUUAAGCUGAGAUCAGACUGUUACUUGAUUCAGGCAAGCAUCUUAUUGAUUUUCUAUUUAACCCCCUUCAACUUCCCAACCCUUCUUGUUGGGCGAGGAGCAGGGAGUUAGGCAGGAAUGAAUCCCUUUGACAUUGACCUGAGGGGUUUAGUGGAAAGCACUGGGGACAUGGGCUCGCACUCAGUCCAGCAUCUGCUCCUCCAUGACUCAGUGUGGGAUCUGGAUGAGCCUUCCCUUCCCAGCCUCUCUUAGGGGAAGACAAGCUUACUUGUUAAGAGUCUUAAAAUUCACGGAGAGUGGUCUGUGAAAGUAUUCAUCGAAAGUAAGCAAACAUUAUGACACAAAUCUCCAACAAUAGUUCCCUGUAAAAAAGUUAUUAGUUGAGCUUGGUUCUCUGGUGUGAAGCCAACCAACCACCCAGAUAAUUCUGAAGAAAUGCAUUCAAUGUUUAAUGGCCUUGUUCUUAAAAGAGACCUCCCAGUUGAACCACUCUUUUGCAUUUAGAAGUUUGAAGAAAAGCAAAAGUCCCUGUUCCUCCCUCCCUUGGUCGUUAGAAGAUGGUCUUUAGCUCUUGUUGGUU